rnacentral:rRNA from 1 species
ACAUACUUCAGAGCCUGAUUCAUAAAAUUUUAAUAAAUAAUAUUACUACCAAAUCCUAACAAAAUAAAAUUUUCAACUAUAAAAUUAUUAAUGUAACCCACCUCUUCUUUAAAAAGCUGCACCUUGAUUUGAGAUAAAAUAAAAUUUUAUUUAAAGAAAAUUAAUUUUUUUAAAAAUAUUCAUUACAACAACGAUAUACAAGCAAUUAUUAAAGUAUAAUAAAUUGUGAACUAUCAAUUACAGGGCAGGUUCCUCUGAUAGGUUAAAGUACCGCCAAGAUAUUUAAUUUUCAAGCACUUAACUAAUACUAAUCCAGUUAUUUUAAUUACAAUUUUUAUAGCAGGGUAUCUAAUCCUGGUUUAUAAAUAAAAUUUUCCUAGAUCACUUAAUCAAAAAACAUAAACCCUAUAUUGAAAUUUCACCUUUAAAUAUAAUAUUAAAAAUUUAUUUAAUUAGUUAACUAAUUAACUAUAAAAAUUAAGUAAAUCCUCUUGUAUAACCGCA